rnacentral:rRNA from 1 species
UACGUAGGGACCGAGCGUUGUCCGGAAUCAUUGGGCGUAAAGAGCGUGUAGGCGGCCACUUAAGUCCUGCGUGAAAUCUUGCGGCUCAACCGCAAGCGGUCGUGGGAAACUGGUGGCUAGAGUGCGGGAGAGGAGAGUGGAAUUCCUGGUGUAGCGGUGAAAUGCGCAGAUAUCAGGAGGAACACCAAUGGCGAAGGCAGCUCGCUGGGACGUGACUGACGCUGAGACGCGAAAGCGUGGGGAGCAAACAGG